rnacentral:lncRNA from 1 species
GCAGGGUGUGUGCAAGUUGAACUUAGCUCAGUGCAUCCACUGGCAAGGAGGUGGUAGCAGGAAAUAGGCAUGUGGUGACUUCAGUAACAGAGACGACUGCAGGGCUGACCUAAGCUUAGUAGCCUGGCUUCUCCGGGAGCUGAGGGUGAGCAUCAUGCCUGCUCCAUCUCCCUCUUUGUUGUGGAUAAGGCAGGGUCAUCAAGACAGGAGGAUAUGAGGCAGAAUCACCACACAAGAUGGACUCAACGACUCUCUUACCGUCCAGCUCUCAAGUCCCUUCUCUUGUGAAAAUGGAAAAGUUGAACUACAGUUGAGAUAUUAUUCCCAGGUGUUCUUUGGAACACAGGGGAUUUCUCCAAAAGGCACAGAACAAAUUGCCUCCAAACAGCCAAGAUUCCAGCAGAAGCUGGAGUAGCAGACUACUUGGAUCUUCAAAGUACCUGGCCCUGAGUCAGUUAAGGAAGAUCUUUUCUUCUCUUUUGUACAAUCCUAUGAUGAGAGCUGCAAAGUGAACUGACUAAGAGCUUCUGCCUUGAUCAUUGACCUCCCAAUCCUAAUAAUAUGUUCACUGGCCAAACUUCCUAAUCGAUUUGUCUUUUGGAUAUAACGUUCCUCCUACUGUUUGCCUGAUUGAGAAAUCUGCUACAGAACAUGACCGGUUAGCAUUCCCACCAACCCCAGUGCUACACUGACUGUCUUUCGAUGGACUUUGCUCCUUGCUGCCUCUCUGAGGUCCCAGACCUUCAGAGUGACCUUCACAGCUCUGCCUAACUUUCUGUCAUACUUCUAUCAAGAGAGACAGCUAAAUCAAUAUUUUUAAUGUGCUUUGCUGUCGGAAUUCGAUGAUCUGUCACAGUUCUUGCCCAAUACACCCCAUCAUUAUUGUUAAAAUGUUUUUAGCUUUGUUUGUAGAAUUGCUUUAACUGGUUUCAUCUCUGGGAGCUACACUUUGAAAUAUAACUUUAGCAACAUUUUACUAUACUUUUUCACAACCCAGAGCAGUACUAUUUUAUGCUUAGUGGUUAAACUAAUUCCAUAAAUCUUUUGCAACUAUCCUCUAUUCUUUUUCUUGUAAUUUUUACCUGGGAAGGUUUUUACUGAUAAUCAUCCUAUCCUGAGUCAUCCCACAAACCAAUCUGUCUCACUAAUCAUUGCUUCUAACCUACAGACUAAGCAUAACUUCUGCUAAAUGAUCUUUGAUAAGAUGCUAUGACUCUAUAAAGUCUUUGAUAUUCAUGUCUAAAUUUAAUCACUUGUAGAUUUUCAUAGAAUCAAUCUUUCACUUCUACAAUUGGGAGUAUUUAUAAGUUGUUUAUCUUAAACAGUUCCUCUAUCACGCUUUUCACGUUAAAUAAAGC